GCUCAGAGUAUAAGCCAAUGGAGCUUGGAAGGCUUCCGCAAACCCGGGCAUCACACGUGGUGUUCGACAGACCAGGGCGAUGGUUCGUCAGGAGCAGCAUUGAGUUUGCCAAGCUUCCCCCGUGCGGGGAGGUCGUCUCGGGGUCCGACGCCUCGGCCGAGGAUUGCCCCGGGACGCCUUCUUGAGAAUGGACGUUCAUAGCUUCUGGUCUAAUGCGGUAUUUGCCCACCACGGCACGUUGUGAGGUCACCCACAGGCUCAAACUGCCGAGCGUGAAUCCAGGACGAUGGCAACGAUGCGUUUUUGGUGCGUGUGCGAGAGUUGCGCGCACGACGCGUGUCUAGUCCUGGGUCAGGCGGCGACCGAGAUAAACCUGGUAUGAUCCUCUUGCGACGAGCUGCUUUCUGGCCAGUCCGACGCCCAGGCGCUUCCACUGUGCCGGAAGUGUCAACCCCAGGCGGUCUGUUCCCUGCUGCGUUUUGCAAGGUCUCUCACAGCCGGGCGUUGGACUGAGUGGUGUUCAAUCCAGCACCAUCGGUCACGUCUCGAAACACGGGCCAAGGAGUAUAGCAUGUGUGCAAGUCUAAGGGUCUCUCAAAACCCGCAGGCGAAGUGAAAGCGAGACUGAGGCGGGGGAGCUACGGCGAACCCGCCGGCCUUGUCGCGCGCGCGCGCGCGCGCGCUCGCGCGUUGUGUGUGCGUUGCGUGGCUGGCUUACAACAGAGCUGAUCCUGCUUACAUGGGCAAAUCUUUGUGCAGGCGCAAGCUCCGGGCUCACGUACAAACACCGGUGACGCCUCGCGCGUGGCUGUGUUGUGAGCACCGUGGAGCAUGCAUGCUAU
rnacentral:rRNA from 1 species